rnacentral:lncRNA from 1 species
CUGGAACGUUGUAUUUGAGAAUGACGUGCAUCAGAUAUGACCAGACAGCUUUAAGGAACUAAGGUUGACUUUAUGGAGCCAACGUUUACAGAGCCCUUUGGAAAAACCAGCCUGGAACCUGGUUUGUAUGGUUCCUAGUCUUACAGCUGACUGCCCAGAUCCUUAUUGGGACCAUCUAAAGAAGCCCUCCCUGCAAGCUGAGGCUGAAUGCUUCAAUGCUCUACUUUAAGAAAUAAUCGUGACUGUGACACUGAUGUCUAUGCCACCACCAAAGACAUUUAAACUGCAAACCAGGAAAUUCAUCAGCUUGCCACUGCUGUCCUCACUCCACCAUCUAAAGAUGCUUCAAGCCCAACCUCUAGAAGUCUUCUCAACUGACUGGCCUCUGAACUCAAAAACUACCAACUUGGCCUUUGAUAUGUGAAAGUUCCUGUAAAGAUUCAGGCAGGGGAAACAAAGGAGAUCAGGAUGUGUCACCCCAAAAUUUGUCACUUUGGCAUAAGGAUUAUUUUGAUCUGAAGGCAACUAGGAAGUGCCAAACACAGCAGGAGCUCUCUACCUUCCCCCGUCUGCCUGAAAGCAGGCAUAAGCUUCCCUUCCGUUG